rnacentral:rRNA from 1 species
UACGAAGGGGGCUAGCGUUGUUCGGAAUCACUGGGCGUAAAGCGCACGUAGGCGGCUUGUUAAGUCGGGGGUGAAAUCCUGGAGCUCAACUCCAGAACUGCCUUCGAUACUGGCGAUCUUGAGUCCGGGAGAGGUGAGUGGAACUCCGAGUGUAGAGGUGAAAUUCGUAGAUAUUCGGAAGAACACCAGUGGCGAAGGCGACUCACUGGCCCGGUACUGACGCUGAGGUGCGAAAGCGUGGGGAGCAAACAGG